rnacentral:lncRNA from 1 species
AAGAACAAAGACAAGUUCACCCAGAAUUUGACUGUGUUCAGGACUGAAUUUAAGGUGAAAUAAGCUUUGUCGUCUCCGCUGAAGGUGAUACUCUCAAUCUAAAAACACUUCCUUCCAAGCUGAAGUUGAUUAGGGGCUAAAGAAUUAGAUUGAAAGAUCUACAUGAUCUGUCAGGAUGCAUAGAAUGAUGGUGUAUGAAAUUUUGGUGUACAGAUUUGCCCUUUGUUUGCUCUGACGUGUCUUUUUCGAUUUUCUUGUUGGGGAAAUGAUCUAGGAAGUGAGAUAGAGUAUCAAUAGGAAGUGAGAUAGAGGUAUGUAGAUGGUAGUAAGGGGGGUUAGGAGUAGAGAAAGGGGUUACAUCCUUAUAUGAUGAUCAACAGCAUGCUUAGUCACUAUUACUGUUGGAGAGUAACAAUUCUUUCGGUGCUGAAAAAAGUGGAAGGAAGAAACGAAAGAUACUGGAGAAUGAUCAACUUUUGGAGGUGGGAGUUUGGUGUUUGUAUGAAAGUACAAAUUGAAG